rnacentral:rRNA from 1 species
UCCGGCGGUGAAGGAUGAGCCCGCGGCCUAUCAGCUUGUUGGUGGGGUGAUGGCCUACCAAGGCGACGACGGGUAGCCGGCCUGAGAGGGCGACCGGCCACACUGGGACUGAGACACGGCCCAGACUCCUACGGGAGGCAGCAGUGGGGAAUAUUGCACAAUGGGCGAAAGCCUGAUGCAGCGACGCCGCGUGAGGGAUGACGGCCUUCGGGUUGUAAACCUCUUUCAGCAGGGAAGAAGCGCAAGUGACGGUACCUGCAGAAGAAGCACCGGCUAACUACGUGCCAGCAGCCGCGGUAAUACGUAGGGUGCGAGCGUUGUCCGGAAUUAUUGGGCGUAAAGAGCUCGUAGGCGGCUUGUCACGUCGGUUGUGAAAGCCCGGGGCUUAACCCCGGGUCUGCAGUCGAUACGGGCAGGCUAGAGUGUGGUAGGGGAGAUCGGAAUUCCUGGUGUAGCGGUGAAAUGCGCAGAUAUCAGGAGGAACACCGGUGGCGAAGGCGGAUCUCUGGGCCAUUACUGACGCUGAGGAGCGAAAGCGUGGGGAGCGAACAGGAUUAGAUACCCUGGUAGUCCACGCCG